GCAACGGCAUAAUAUCAUGCACGCAAAGCAAUGCCCAUCUAUAUCAUCUGAAUUGUCUGCAAUCGCAUGACAGCGACCGCCUGUAUCACCUCUGCAUACCACACCAAAUAAAUUACCAACUACUUUUUUUUUAAGGCAGCUUUGCAGUGUGUCAAAUGUGGACAAUUUACACAUUCUGCUUCACCAGCUACACCUGUWGAAUUGAAUUUGUA